UACGUGGGGUGCGAGCGUUGUCCGGAAUCACUGGGCGUAAAGGGCGCGUAGGUGGUUUGAUAAGGGUGUGGUGAAAGUCCGGAGCUCAACUCCGGAUCUGCCGUGCCGACUGUCAAACUCGAGGGCUGUAGAGGCAGACGGAAUUCCGGGUGUAGCGGUGGAAUGCGUAGAGAUCCGGAGGAAGACCGGUGGCGAAGGCGGCACUCUGGGCCGGGACUGACGCUGAGGAGCGAAAGCGUGGGGAGCGAACAGG
rnacentral:rRNA from 1 species